GCGUAGUCUCUGCCGCACGGACCUUCGGGUGAGGUCGCGCCGUCGCCUUCCCUUCGUAUGGUUGCCAAAGCUGUGUUUUUCUGAAUUCUGAGACUGGACAAGGAACCUUCCACUGCAUGAAUACCAAGAAAGGGACAAACUGCACCCAUUCCAAAGGGGUUGAGUGGGCCACCCAAGAUUCCCAGAGAAAACAGACUCUUGGAAAGGCUGAUAUUAACUAUCAUCAAUUCUACUUGCUCCAAGAAGAAAGUCACUUUGUAAGGCCAAAGGUGUUAAAAAAGCAGCAGAGUGGAGUUAUUUUCAUUCAAGCCUUCAAGCCAGGGGUGAUCACCGUGAAAAGAAAGCUGAGCAUAUGGAGCUAAAUCCAAAGGCUGGUCUCCUUAUAAAAGAAGGCCAUGUGAAGACACAGGAACACAGAGACACAGGGCAGAAUGUCAUGUGAAGACAGAGUUGGAGAUUGGAGGGAUUCAGCUACAUGCCAAGGAACGCCAAGGGCUCCUGGCAACCACCAGAAACCAGGAGAGAGGCGUGGAAUGGAUUCUCUCGCAGAACCUCCAGAAAGAACCAGCUCUUCUGACACCCUGAUUUCUGACUUCUGGUCUCCAGAACUGUGAGAGAAUAGAUUUCUGUUGUUUUAAGCCACCCAGUUUCUUGUAUUUUGCUAGGCAGCUGUAGGAAAUUAAUAGACCCCCUCUUGGCUGAACUUGGACCCUUAAAGUCCUGAACCUGUUCCUUCUGAAAGACAGAUAAGCUCUCUUCCUGUUGAUAUCCCCUUCUGCAGACAUCCUGGGACAUAACUUCCUUUCCAGCCUCCAAUAUUUGAGGAUAUCUUAUGCCCUCUCACAUUCUGUUGUCCUUGAGAGUUUAUAUCUUUUUUUAAAGAAAUGCAACGUUAUUAUUUCUAAUCACACUUAACAGCAUUAAAUAAUCAAUAAAAUAUUGAACAAAGGUA